rnacentral:lncRNA from 10 species
GCGACCUUCACGAGAUGGCAGUCCACUGGAGAAAGCAGUCAUGCAAAUAACCAGCAUACCAGACAGGAUGGAAGACGUGCAAAACCUGCAUAAGAACCCCAGUGCUGUGGAAGUGCAGAGGGAGGAGCAAUUAAUCCAGAUGGGCAAUCAGGAUCUUCUAUCAGACUCAGACAAGUGGGGUUAAUGUGAGCAGUUCAAUUCCUUUCCUCUUUAAAAAGGAAGGUGAAGAGGAAUCUGUAGCCCCAGAUGCCUCUUGGUCUUGGAUCAGCUUUGGAGUACACAUUGCCUGGGUCCAUAGACAAGAAGGACGUGGUUAGCACUGAGCAUCACCAAGGCAACCUCGGUGGAUUCCACAGAGCCUGAAACAUCGGGAGUUGGUGCAUAACACACCGUAGGAGGAAGAGGCAUUUCAGGAGGACAUCGGGCAGCCUGGGGACACCUCAAGGUGGAUUUGUGAAAAGUGCAUUUCCAGUCCCCAGUGAAUAUGAGCCAGAACGUUGUCAUUUAAUUUCUCUAUCGAUUCUUAAGAAGUUUAGGAAAGCAAGACUGUUUCUGAGAUGUGUUUUUCACAUUUGUACCCUUCGACCUAAAGGGAAAAACAUGAGAAGGAAUUAAGGCUUUUUCCAUUCCCCGAAUUUUCUGACUUCAGAUACAACCAGUAGAGAGAGAGGACAAGUUUUCUCAGCCCUCAGAGGACAUGUACAGAGAAUGUAUGGACUCUCCCCAGACCAGGGGUAGUCCAGGAACCUGUGUCUGCCACAAAAUGUGAUGCCAUCUGGGCCCCUGGGACUCUGUGAAGACUUGGAGCAGGCAUCAUUACAGAGCCGCACUCUGCCCUCCAGCUUCCAGCAACUCCGUCUUCUCAACUUCCUUCAUUUCUCCCAGGAGGGGUUGGCCUCAUGUUUGUGUAACUGGACAUUCCAGCCUUAUCAGAGAACUAGACAAAUGUUUGUCUUUUAGGGACUUAAUAUGUACAGUGUACUUAAUUGUCUUAGUCUGUUUGGGCUUCUGUAACAAAGUACCAUAGCCUGGGUGAUUUAUAAAUAACAUUUAUUUCUCACGGUUCUGGAGGCUGAAAGUCUGAGAUCAGGGAGCCAGCAUGGUCAGUUCUGGUGAGGGUCCUCUUCCAGGUUGAGGAUUGCCAUCUUCUUUUUGUGUCCUCACAUGGUGGAAAAGAGGGUGAGAGCUCUCUGGGGUCACUUUCACAAGGCCACAGAUCUGUUCAUGAGGGAUCCACCCUUGUGAUCUAAUUAUCUCCCAAAGAUCCUACCUUCUAAUACCACCAUAAAGGGAGUUAGGAUUUCAACAUAUGAAUUUAGGGAGGACACAAACAUUCAGCACAUUGCAGUUACGGUACAAGAGUGACCAACCAAAACACAUAAGUCUCUCAAUUAAUCAAAUUUAUAUUUAUUCAUUAAGAAUCUAAUUUCAUCCUAGGCUCUGGUGUCAGCCUGCCAAGACUCAAUCCUCCAUCAGCUACUGUCUGUAGAUGAGUUACUUAGGAUUUCUGUGCCUCAGUUUCUCUAUCUGUAAAGUAGAGUAAUAACAUCAUCUACCUCAUAGAGUUUUCAUAAGAAUCAAAUGAUAUGAUAUACAUAUAGGGCUUAGAAUAGAUCCUGGAACAUAAAUGUGUUCAGUAAAUGUGUUAAUAUUUAUAUUGUCAUAUUAUAUAUUGCUUCUACAUAUUAUUGAUGGACACAGUUAGUGUGUUUCAGUAUUCAUUGGGGAAGGAGUAGAGAACGACUUUACUUCCUUUAACCUGGUAAUUCCACCAAUCCUUUUCACAGCUCUAGUUACUCUCCUUGGUGAUAAAAUAGUUACAUUAUCUCUUUCAGGGCAUGGUGAUAUAGUAAAAAGCCCCGUGGUGAUGAGGCCUCUUCUUUUAAGGCUAGAAGUGAAGAAAACAGAACCCAAUCUUAAUCAUUUGAGAGUCUAUUAAAGAAAUCUUUGAGACUUCCUUUCAGGCCAGCUUGGUAUCAGUGAUAUUCAAAUAAUUCUGGGAACUGGAGUGGGAGUCUGGGCAUUCUAUGUUAACACCUAGCUGUAUUCCAAAUCUUCUAGUGCCUGACUAGGAGUGUUUCUGCUGGAAGUCACCUUAGAUGUGGGGGGCAUUUUAUCCUCAGAUGGAUAACUCAAGGGCCGGGGGGCCCAUGUAGAGGGACCAUAGAGAACCAGCUAAUUAAUGGGGUAGACACAUUAAUUGAAUUUCUGGGGCAACUGAAGUUUCAUCAUUCAGUUCACUUUAACACCUAAUGUUUUCAAAAUUUUCCCAAGCCUCUAGGUUUUCUUUGGGCUUUAAAAAGUCCAGCCUUGGAGCCAAAGUUACAUCUUUUUUAAUGGAAAAUGAGUUGAACUUAAGAAGCCCUGUUCUGAGGCCAGGGCUCACUCUCCAUUCCUUUGGGCAAAGAUGCAGCGACUUCUCUGAGCCCCAGACUUGUCAUCUGCCAGAUUGGGGUAAUCAUAGCACCUGCCUCAUAUUUGCGGGUAAUCAUGCAGCUUAGAGGUAAUAUGCUUAGUGGAGUGCCUGGAGCAUGGUCAGUACCAUGCAAAUGUUUGCUAUUUGAAUUAUUAAACACUUUUAUUCAAGAGGGAACUAUCCAGUUAAAGAAAAAUUCUGAUUAGGUGGGUUCUGGUUAAUUGAGAGUCCUCAGUAAAUACGCAAGUUUUAAAAAAAAUGCAUUUAUUUCUAACCCCGAGAGAAAGAGAAGGUAUGACACAGUCAGGUUUAGAAGUACCGGGCAUUUAAAAGGUUUCUUCUGGGGGAUAUUCUUCUUCCCAGAAGAGGGUUGUAUCUAUACAGACACUUCCGAGGUACCAAUUGAUCAUGAAGGCGAGGGCUUAUCUUGUCUGCAGCUGUUAUUUGAUGCUCCCAGGUUUGGGUGUCAGGCAACCUUGCACCAUGACUUGAGAAUUUUCUCUCCCCCUUUGCUGAGUUCUGUAAAGAAGAGCUCUUUUGUCCUAAGAGCAGGUCCCUACAGAUGGUUUAACUUGUAGCUCCUCCCAAGUUGGACCAAGCAGUGUAUCCCAGCAGAAGAUUGUAACCUCAAGCACCUGCCUUAAAGUUAGUCACUAGGGGCUAGCCCAUAGCAGCUCAGGGAGCAUGAAUUCCUGGGUCCUGGGGGCCUCUAUUCUAUACAGUGCCCAGAGUCAAUAUGGCUGCCUUCCAGGUUCGUUAACUGCUAUUAGGGGGACACAGAGAGGUGAGCAAUCAAUGCCUGCUUAU